rnacentral:rRNA from 1 species
GAUGAACGCUGGUGGUAUGCUUAACACAUGCAAGUCGAACGGACUCUUCGGAGUUAGUGGCGGACGGGUGAGUAACGCGUGAGAAUCUGGCUUUGGGUUCGGGACAACCACUGGAAACGGUGGCUAAUACCGGAUGUGCCGAGAGGUAAAAGAGAAAUUGCCUGAAGAUGAGCUCGCGUCUGAUUAGCUAGUUGGUGAGGUAAAGGCUCACCAAGGCAGCGAUCAGUAGCUGGUCUGAGAGGAUGACCAGCCACACUGGGACUGAGACACGGCCCAGACUCCUACGGGAGGCGGCAGUGGGGAAUUUUCCGCAAUGGGCGAAAGCCUGACGGAGCAAUACCGCGUGAGGGAAGAAGGCUCUUGGGUUGUAAACCUCUUUUCUUAGGGAAGAACAAAAUGACGGUACCUAAGGAAUCAGCAUCGGCUAACUCCGU